GAUGAAGAACGUAGCGAAAUGCGAUAAGUAAUGUGAAUUGCAGAAUUCAGUGAAUCAUCGAAUCUUUGAACGCACAUUGCGCCCGUCAGUAUUCUGGCGGGCAUGCCUGUUCGAGCGUCAUUACGCCACUCAAGUCCCCUGUGGACUUGGUGUUGGGGAUCGGCGAGGCUGGUUUUCCAGCACAGCCGUCCCUUAAAUUAAUUGGCGGUCUCGCCGUGGCCCUCCUCUGCGCAGUAGUAAAACACUCGCAACAGGAGCCCGGCGCGGUCCACUGCCGUAAAACCCCCCAACUUUUUAUAGUUGACCUCGAAUCAGGUAGGACUACCCGCUGAACUUAAGCAUAUCAAUAAGCGGAGGA
rnacentral:misc_RNA from 1 species